AUGGGCCAGAGGAAGACAAAGAUCCGGGAGGACUGCCCUGUACAAACCAUCUGGCCCCCGCUUUACUGCGCCUCAUCAGGGAGGACGCCCACACCCUCUCCCCAGGAAGCGGGGCUGCAGUCACAGAGCACAGCCCUGAGGAACCACAUGUGCCUGGGGCCGGAGCAGGGAGGGGCGCGGAGCCCUGGGCUGCAGGGGAGCGAGCCCACCACCCCAACCCUUGCCUCCACCACGGCCCCGGCAGUCUACCCUCUGCCUCCCAGCUGUGGGAACACACCUAGUUCCACAGUGGUCGUGGGCUGCCUGGUCUUGAGCUACUUCCCUGAGCCAGUGACCGUGACCUGGAACCCCGGCGCCCUACCCAGAGAUGUGCACACCUUCCCAUCCGUCCUCGGGUCCUCGGGGCUGUACUCUCUCAGCAGCACUGUGACCGUGCCUGCCAGCACCUCGUCCGGCAAGACCUUCACCUGCAACGUAGCCCACCCGGCCAGCAGCACCAAGGUGGACAAGCGCAUCGAGAUCAACGGCCCAAACCCCUGUUCCAGGUGUCCCAAAUGCCCACCCGCUGAGAUCCCAGGAGGACCGUCCGUCUUCAUCUUCCCCCCGACACCCAAAGACACCCUCACAAUAUCCCGAACACCGGAAGUCUCCUGCAUGGUGGUGGACGUGAGCAAGGAGAACCCCGAUGUCCAGUUCUCCUGGUACGUGGACAACGUAGAGGUCAAGACAGCCAAGACGAAGCCAAGGGAGGAGCAGUUCAACAGCACCUACCGCGUGGUCAGCGCCCUGCCCAUCCAGCACCAGGACUGGCUGAAGGGAAAGGAGUUCAAGUGCAAGGUCAACAACAAAGGUCUCCCGGCCCCCAUCGUGAGGACCAUCUCCAAGGCCAAAGGGCAGCCCCGGGAGCCGCAGGUGUACGUACUGGCCCCACCGCGGGAAGAGCUGGCCAAGAGCUCGGUCAGCUUAACCUGCAUGGUCACCGGCUUCUACCCGGGCGACAUCGACGUGGAGUGGCAGAGAAAGGGGCAGCCGGAGUCAGAGGGCAAGUACGGCACGACCCCACCCCAGCUGGACGCCGACGGGUCCUUCUUCCUGUACAGCAAGCUCAGGGUAGACAAGAGGAGCUGGCAGCAGGGAGACACCUACACGUGUGUAGUUUUGCACGAGGCUCUGCACAAUCACAACACGCAGAAGUCCAUCUCCCAGUCUCCGGAACUGCUCCUAGAGGAGGAGACCUGUGCUGAUGCCCAGGACGGGGAGCUGGACGGGCUGUGGACGACCAUCUCCAUCUUCAUCACCCUCUUCCUGCUCAGCGUGUGCUACAGCGCCACCGUGACCCUCUUCAAGGUGAAGUGGAUCUUCUCGUCGGUGGUGGAGCUGAAGCAGACGAUCGUCCCCGACUACAGAAACAUGAUCGGGCAGGGCGCCUAG